UCCUUUGUUGCCAGCGAUUCGGUCGGGAACUCAAAGGAGACUGCCAGUGAUAAACCGGAGGAAGGUGGGGAUGACGUCAAGUCAUCAUGGCCCUUACGAGUAGGGCUACACACGUGCUACAAUGGCGCAUACAAAGAGAAGCGACGUCGCGAGAGCAAGCGGACCUCAUAAAGUGCGUCGCAGUCCGGAUUGUAGUCUGCAACUCGACUCCAUGAAGUGGGAAUCGCUAGUAAUCGUAGAUCAGAAUGCUACGGUGAAUACGUUCCCGGUCGUUGUACACACCGCCCGUCACACCAUGGG
rnacentral:rRNA from 1 species